AUUAUAUGAGUUUGAUCCUGGCUCAGGAUGAACGCUAGUAGUAUGCUUUACACAUGCGAGUCGAACGGAAUUUUUUUCGUGGCGUACGGGUGAGGAAAGAACAGAAUGCUGCCUUUUAGUUCAGAACAAAAACGCUUUUUGAAGCGUUAAAUGCUGAAUAAUUUAAAAGGUCUACGUUUUUUAAGCGUAUUUCCGCUAGAAGAUGGGUCUGUUUAAGAUUAAGGUAGUUGGUAAAUUUAACAGCUUACCAAGCCGAUGAUCUUUAGUUGGUCUUUGCGGAUGGCCAACCACAUUGGAACUGAAACAAGGUCCAAGCUGAACUAUCGGCCAGCAGUGAGGAAUAUUGGACAAUGAACGAAAGUUUGAUCCAGCAAUACUAUUUGAAUGAAGACGGCUUUUUUGGUUGUAAAGUUCUUUCGUCAAUGAUGAAAAUGACAUUAGUUGAAGAAGUAGUCCCGGCUAAUACUCGUGCCAGCAGCCGCGGUAAAACGGGAGGGGCAAGCGUUAUCCGGCAUGACUGGGCGUAAAGGGUCCGUAGACUGUAGAAUCAGUUCCUAGUUAAAGAUCAAAGCUUAACUUUGAAACAGCUUCGAAUACUGUUCUACUUGAGUUUUAUACAGAAGACUAGAAUUCUAUACGGAAGGGUAAAAUCUGUAGAUAUAUAGAGGAAUAUCAUUAGCGAAGGCGAGUCUUUGGUAAAAACUGACGUUGAGGGACGAAAAUAUGGGUAGCAAACAGGAUUAGAUACCCUGGUAGUCCUUAUAGUAAACGCUGAGUGCUGUAAUCUAAUGUAAGCGGUAUUGCUAAGCUUAUUUAGAUUUUUAAGCUAACUGCCAUAAGCACUCCGCCUGAGAAGUACGAUCGCAAGGUUGGAACUCAAAGGAAUUGACGGGGGCUAAUACUAGCGGUGGAGCAUGUGGUUUAAUCCGAUAAUCCGCGCAAAACCUUACCAAUUCUUGACAUAAAACAUUUUACUGCAAAAUUGCGUUUUAAGUAAAAAUUUUGCAUAAAGUUUUACAGGUGUUGCACGACUGUCGUCAGCCCGUGUCGUGAGAUGUUUGGUUAAUUCCUUUAACGAGCGCAACUCUUAUUAUUAAUGUACGUAUUUUUGAAAGAAUAAGAUUCUUUUAAAAAAGUUUUAACAACACAGUCAAUGAUAAGUUGAAGGAAGGUGAGAACGAAGUCAAGUCAAUGUGACCCUAAUGAAUUGGGCUACACACGUGCUACAAUGAAAAUUACAAAAAGUAACGAAAAAUUUAAUUUUAAGUUAAUCUAUAAAGAUUUUCCCAGUUCGGAUUGUAAGCUGAAACUCGCUAACAUGAAGUUGGAAUCGCUAGUAAUCGCAAAUCAGCAUGUUGCGGUGAAUUGUCAAUUGGCCUUGUACACACCGCCCGUCACAUGCAGAGAAUUAGUUUUGCUUGAAGAUUUGUCUUUGGCAGAUCCAUUGAAAAAUUAGUGAUUUGGAUGAAGUCGUAACAAGGUAGCUGUACGGGAACGUGUAGCUGGAAAAAUAAAAUU
rnacentral:rRNA from 1 species